ensembl:lncRNA
GCCUGAGGGCAAGCACAUUUUCUGCAAAUUUCCAUUUUUGGGGGGGUAAACUAUUCCUUUAAAAGAGGACUUAAUAGUCCAAAAUAACAUCACGUAGCACCAUAGCGAAUUUUCCAUUUCACCCCAGAUACUAACACUUGUGGAUGACAUCAUCACUUGUGGGCGGGGCCUCUAAGAAAUGCCUUCAGGACCCGUAGGCUACUUUGUUUUCACUACUCACCUGGAGGACAGUUUCAACCUGGCACUCGCUCGCUCUCUGUCUCUCUGCUUUAGAGUGUGAAAAAUGGGGCUGUAAAGUCGUGGUGGCAGUGCUGCAGUCCUGUGCUGCUCCCCUGAGCAAUUCCACAGCCUCUCAAACACAGAAGCAGCAUUUCAUGAAGAGAAGGUCAUAUUCACAGAGAAAGGGAUUUUGCCUUCU